GUUUGAUCCUGGCUCAGAUUGAACGCUGGCGGCAUGCCUUACACAUGCAAGUCGAACGGCAGCACGGAGCUUGCUCUGGUGGCGAGUGGCGAACGGGUGAGUAAUAUAUCGGAACGUACCCUAGAGUGGGGGAUAACGUAGCGAAAGUUACGCUAAUACCGCAUACGAUCUAAGGAUGAAAGUGGGGGAUCGCAAGACCUCAUGCUCGUGGAGCGGCCGAUAUCUGAUUAGCUAGUUGGUAGGGUAAAAGCCUACCAAGGCAUCGAUCAGUAGCUGGUCUGAGAGGACGACCAGCCACACUGGAACUGAGACACGGUCCAGACUCCUACGGGAGGCAGCAGUGGGGAAUUUUGGACAAUGGGCGAAAGCCUGAUCCAGCAAUGCCGCGUGAGUGAAGAAGGCCUUCGGGUUGUAAAGCUCUUUUGUCAGGGAAGAAACGGUGAGAGCUAAUAUCUUUUGCUAAUGACGGUACCUGAAGAAUAAGCACCGGCUAACUACGUGCCAGCAGCCGCGGUAAUACGUAGGGUGCAAGCGUUAAUCGGAAUUACUGGGCGUAAAGCGUGCGCAGGCGGUUUUGUAAGUCUGAUGUGAAAUCCCCGGGCUCAACCUGGGAAUUGCAUUGGAGACUGCAAGGCUAGAAUCUGGCAGAGGGGGGUAGAAUUCCACGUGUAGCAGUGAAAUGCGUAGAUAUGUGGAGGAACACCGAUGGCGAAGGCAGCCCCCUGGGUCAAGAUUGACGCUCAUGCACGAAAGCGUGGGGAGCAAACAGGAUUAGAUACCCUGGUAGUCCACGCCCUAAACGAUGUCUACUAGUUGUCGGGUCUUAAUUGACUUGGUAACGCAGCUAACGCGUGAAGUAGACCGCCUGGGGAGUACGGUCGCAAGAUUAAAACUCAAAGGAAUUGACGGGGACCCGCACAAGCGGUGGAUGAUGUGGAUUAAUUCGAUGCAACGCGAAAAACCUUACCUACCCUUGACAUGGCUGGAAUCCUUGAGAGAUCGAGGAGUGCUCGAAAGAGAACCAGUACACAGGUGCUGCAUGGCUGUCGUCAGCUCGUGUCGUGAGAUGUUGGGUUAAGUCCCGCAACGAGCGCAACCCUUGUCAUUAGUUGCUACGAAAGGGCACUCUAAUGAGACUGCCGGUGACAAACCGGAGGAAGGUGGGGAUGACGUCAAGUCCUCAUGGCCCUUAUGGGUAGGGCUUCACACGUCAUACAAUGGUACAUACAGAGCGCCGCCAACCCGCGAGGGGGAGCUAAUCGCAGAAAGUGUAUCGUAGUCCGGAUUGUAGUCUGCAACUCGACUGCAUGAAGUUGGAAUCGCUAGUAAUCGCGG
rnacentral:rRNA from 1 species